rnacentral:rRNA from 1 species
CUUCGGAUUCCUCAGUAAACCGGCGCACGGGUGAGUAACACGUAGGUAACCUACCCCGGAGACUGGGAUAACCCAUCGAAAGAUGGGCUAAUACCGGAUAUGACCACGGGGGCUACGGCCCCUGGGGUAAAAGAUGGCCUCUUCCUGAAAGCUAUCACUCCGGGAUGGGCCUGCGCGUCAUUAGCUUGUUGGUGGGGUAAUGGCCUACCAAGGCAACGAUGACUAGCUGGUCUGAGAGGAUGAUCAGCCACACUGGGACUGAGACACGGCCCAGACUCCUACGGGAGGCAGCAGUGGGGAAUAUUGCGCAAUGGGGGAAACCCUGACACAGCGACGCCGCGUGAGUGAUGAAGGCCUUCGGGUCGUAAAGCUCUGUCGGAGGGGAAGAACGUCCGUUGGGCGAAUAGUCCGACGGUCUGACGGUACCCUCAAAGGAAGCACCGGCUAACUCCGUGCCAGCAGCCGCGGUAAUACGGAGGGUGCAAGCGUUGCUCGGAAUCA